rnacentral:rRNA from 1 species
AGUGAACGCUGGCGGUAGGCCUAACACAUGCAAGUCGAACGGCAGCACAGUAAGAGCUUGCUCUUACGGGUGGCGAGUGGCGGACGGGUGAGGAAUACAUCGGAAUCUACUUUUUCGUGGGGGAUAACGUAGGGAAACUUACGCUAAUACCGCAUACGACCUACGGGUGAAAGCAGGGGAUCUUCGGACCUUGCGCGAUUGAAUGAGCCGAUGUCGGAUUAGCUAGUUGGCGGGGUAAAGGCCCACCAAGGCGACGAUCCGUAGCUGGUCUGAGAGGAUGAUCAGCACCCCGGGACCUGAGCCCCGGUCCAGCCCCCUCGGGGGGGCCGGAGGGGGAAAUUUUGGCAAAGGGGCGCAACCCUGACCCAGCCAUCCCGGGUGGGUGAAGAAGGCCUUCGGGUUGUAAAGCCCUUUUGUGGGGAAAGAAAAGAAGCAGGUUAAGCCCCCGCUUUUCUGACGGUACCAAAAGAAUAAGCCCCGGCAACCUUCGG